rnacentral:tRNA from 1 species
GCGUCGGCUGGGCAUUGGCGAGCCCCGGUGGCUGUAAACCACUCGUUUCAUACUGUGGCGGUUCAAUUCCGUCCCGGCGCA